rnacentral:rRNA from 1 species
ACAUGCAUAUAGCAUAGCGUUAAUGCAUCAGAUCCCAUUAGAACUCCCCAAUUAAGUGCACUCAGGCUAGAGUAGUACUGGGAUGGGUGAUUUCCUAGGAAGUCCUAGUGUUUUACAUGCC